rnacentral:rRNA from 1 species
AGAUUGAACGCUGGCGGCAGGCCUAACACAUGCAAGUCGAGCGGCAGCACGGGUACUUGUACCUGGUGGCGAGCGGCGGACGGGUGAGUAAUGCCUAGGAAUCUGCCUGAUAGUGGGGGAUAACGUUCGGAAACGGACGCUAAUACCGCAUACGUCCUACGGGAGAAAGUGGGGGAUCUUCGGACCUCACGCUAUCAGAUGAGCCUAGGUCGGAUUAGCUAGUUGGUAGGUAAAGGCCUACCAAGGCUACGAUCCGUAACUGGUCUGAGAGGAUGAUCAGUCACACUGGAACUGAGACACGGUCCAGACUCCGUACGGGAGCAGCAGGUGGGAAUAGUGGACAAGUGGGACGAAAGGCCCUAGAUCCAGCCAUCGCCGCGUGUGUAGAAGAAGGUCUUCGGUAUUGUAAAGCUAACGUUUAAGGUUAGGGAAGGUAAGGACUAACGUUAAACCGUAAGUUAACGGUUAGUUAGUUUUAGAACCGUUUACCGACUAAGAAUAAGACCACCGGACUAACUCUGUCGACCAGCAGCCGUACG